GUGGGGAAUAUUGGACAAUGGGGGGAACCCUGAUCCAGCCAUGCCGCGUGUGUGAAGAAGGUCUUCGGAUUGUAAAGCACUUUAAGUUGGGAGGAAGGGUAGUAACCUAAUACGUUGCUACUUUGACGUUACCGACAGAAUAAGCACCGGCUAACUUCGUGCCAGCAGCCGCGGUAAUACGAAGGGUGCAAGCGUUAAUCGGAAUUACUGGGCUUAAAGCGCGCGUAGGUGGUUCAGUAAGUUGGAAGUGAAAUCCCCGGGCUCAACCUGUGAAGUGCUUUCAAAACUGCUGAGCUAGAGUACGGUAGAGGGUGGUGGAAUUUCCUGUGUAGCGGUGAAAUGCGUAGAUAUAGGAAGGAACACCAGUGGCGAAGGCGACCACCUGGACUGAUACUGACACUGAGGUGCGAAAGCGUGGGGAGCAAACAGGAUUAGAAACCCCGGUAGUCC
rnacentral:rRNA from 1 species